UGUUAAAAAAGAAUAACACCGUCGCUCCGAUGCGGCAUUGCGGCGAUGCCCAGCCAGUCCCGUAGCCGCUUCGGCGUGCAUCGCCACUCGCUCGCCGCCUUCGGAUGAUAGAGUAAGAAGGGCAGCAAAUCUGCAACGCGCCCUUCGGUUUUGAGAAGCCAUGCAGAAGGGGACAAGUGGUCAUGUAUAAUUGCGCUUACUCAUAUGUACUCAAGCAAGGAAUCAAUCGUGGGCUCCUGGCAACUUCCUGGAAGGACCAGUAAUGAAAGGAACAUGUAAGAUUUAUACUGUGACUAGUCAAGCAUGCUCCACGGCCGGAUAUUAUUAGAUGGAAAAUCUUGAUCCGGAUACAGCUGCUCAGCACUUAUAUCAUUGAUUUCAUCAAGUGCACAGAAGUCUCA